rnacentral:rRNA from 1 species
AAUAUUGCACAAUGGGGGAAACCCUGAUGCAGCGACGCCGCGUGAGCGAAGAAGGCCUUCGGGUCGUAAAGCUCUGUCCUAAGGGAAGAAACGGACGGUACCUUAGGAGGAAGCCCCGGCUAACUACGUGCCAGCAGCCGCGGUAAUACGUAGGGGGCGAGCGUUAUCCGGAAUUAUUGGGCGUAAAGCGCGCGCAGGCGGUUCUUUAAGUCAGAUGUGAAAGCCCACGGCUUAACCGUGGGACUGCAUUUGAAACUGGAGGGCUUGAGUGUCGGAGAGGGCAGUGGAAUUCCCAGUGUAGCGGUGGAAUGCGUAGAUAUUGGGAGGAACACCAGUGGCGAAGGCGACUGCCUGGACGAUAACUGACGCUGAGGCACGAAAGCUAGGGGAGCAAACA